GCGGACGUAGUGUAACGGUAGCACGCAGGUUUUCAGUACCUGUUUAUCGGGUUUCCCCCCGAGUAGUGCGGGUUCAAAUCCCGUCGUCCGCUCCA
rnacentral:tRNA from 1 species